UAAAAUCAACAAUAUUAAUACAUUAAUUCUUCUACAUGUUAUACAUAAUUUAAAAAUUAAUCAAGAUGGCCUCAUUUAAGCAAGCUUUUCUCUUCAUUUCUCUCUUUGUUGCAAUUUCAGUUUAUCUCUCUUGGGAUCCAAGUAAGAUGCAAGUGAUGGCAUUACGAGACUUACCUGGUGAUUUUGAAGAGAUAAAAGGAAAAUUAUUUCAAAUUGAUGAUAUUACGACUUGUGGGCAUCGUUGCAAAGGUCGUAGUGAUUGCAAAGAAGGUUUUUUUUGUUCAACUUGUCUUAAAAUUGGAUCUGCGGUUUCUCAUUGCGUAUAAUAUAAGCACAUUUUUACUGGUGAAAUAUCCUUUUGAAGCAUAAAAUAUUAUUGUGUCCAAUGAAUGAACUAUUAAUUGCUUAUUAUGUCUUCGUGUUUAUUCAAGCAUUUUGAAUAAUGUUGUGUUUACGAAGUUUGCGUGAUAAAAUAAAUAUGUAACCCUUAUAA